AGUGAACGCUGGCGGUAGGCCUAACACAUGCAAGUCGAACGGCAGCACAGUAAGAGCUUGCUCUUACGGGUGGCGAGUGGCGGACGGGUGAGGAAUACAUCGGAAUCUACUUUUUCGUGGGGGAUAACGUAGGGAAACUUACGCUAAUGCCGCAUACGACCUACGGGUGAAAGCAGGGGAUCUUCGGACCUUGCGCGAUUGAAUGAGCCGAUGUCGGAUUAGCUAGUUGGCGGGGUAAAGGCCCACCAAGGCGACGAUCCGUAGCUGGUCUGAGAGGAUGGUCGGCCACACUGGAACUGAGACACGGUCCAGACUCCUACGGGAGGCAGCAGUGGGGAAUAGUAGACAAUGGGCGCAAGCCUGAUCCAGCCAUACCGCGUGGGUGAAGAAGGCCUUCGGGUUGUAAAGCCCUUUUGUUGGGAAAGAAAAGCAGCAGGUUAAUACCCCGCUGUUCUGACGGUACCCAAAGAAUAAGCACCGGCUAACUUCGUG
rnacentral:rRNA from 1 species